UUCAUAAAAAUCUCCAAACUGAAAGGCUAAAUGAAGCCCAAAUUCACAACCGAAUAUGAAUUAACGAUCACCUUCACAAGGGGAUCAUAAGGAAUCAUGUCAAGAUGGAUGGGAGCGUUGAAGGCUAACGGGCUACGAAUACUCAAUCAAAUAAGCGAACGCAAAUACGGGCGCGCAAGGUUAUACAUGUUUGGAUGUUUCAUCAAGAAGUGUACGCGGUUGAAGAUCGAGUCAAGACAUGGAUUGUAUGUGGGUGUGUACGUAGUCACUUAAAUUGAGACAUGUAUGUUAGUUUUUGGA